rnacentral:rRNA from 1 species
UACAGAGGUCUCAAGCGUUGUUCGGAUUCAUUGGGCGUAAAGGGUGCGUAGGUGGCGCUGUAAGUCAGGUGUGAAAUUUCGAGGCUUAACCUCGAAACUGCAUCUGAUACUGCGGUGCUUGAGGACUGGAGAGGAGACUGGAAUUUACGGUGUAGCAGUGAAAUGCGUAGAGAUCGUAAGGAAGACCAGUGGCGAAGGCGGGUCUCUGGACAGUUCCUGACACUGAGGCACGAAGGCCAGGGGAGCAAACGGG